AAUGAGUCUCACAAGCUCUGAUGGAUUUUUUUUUAGAUGGGAGUUUACCUGCACAAAACUCUUUUUUUGCCUGCUACCAUCCACGUUAGAUAUGACUUGCUCCUCCUUGCCUUCCAUCAUGAUUGUGAGGCCUGCCCAGACAUGUGGAACUCUGAUAUAAGUCUUUUGAGGUACAGCCUGGCACAAAAAGGAUGAGAUUUGUGGGCAGAAUUUUGGAAGAAUAUCUCCCGAGAGAACAUUCAGGACAGAUUGCACUGCUUUGGAGAGCUGGUGAUGAAAUCCGGCCAUUGAAUUACACUGCACUAUAAACUUCAUUUGUUCUUGGGUGCAUAGUGAUUUGCUAUAAUAAUGAUCAUCCAUUUGCCAGACAGCUGAGAUUUUUUAAAAGCUUGAUUGCUUUUGGCAUGGCAUUAUUAGUCCUGGAAGAAGGCAGCACAUUUGUAGCAAUUCUCAGCUUGAGCAAACUAGAAUAUUCACCUCCCACAAAUGCUGGCCAUUUAAGAUCUGUGUGUUAGACUUUGGCAUUUUUUCUAGCAAUUCUACAACAGCAUACACACUUUUAUUUUUCAUUAACACCAUUGUGAAUAUGCCCAUCUCUAAAAUUUCAAGGGGGUUCACUUAAGCUACUGAGUUUUAUGGACAGAAGGGCCAAGAAAAGUCCCCAAAGAAGAGUGCAUGCUGUCAAUUGCCAAUUAUUUUUUUUUCUAAUGAAAGCCAAACAAUUCCAGACAAACCCUUUUCUAAGAAAUGAACUACAUAUCUGGAUCCAAAUAAAUACUCAUCUGAUAAGAAUCUAAAAGCUCUACUGAAUUACAGUGGAUGAGAACAUGAUGAUGGUGAUUCUUUGAAGAUUACUGAGGAAAUCAACUCUCAUGUCUGAUUCUGAUACUUUUAUAGUCCAUCCAUGUUGAAAAUGUCUAUGGAAUGAUUCUGUUGUACCUUGAGAAAUGAAAUUCAUAGGCAUGGAUUCUCUCACACAGCAACUUUAUACACAAAGAUGAGAAUAGAAGAAAGGUCAUUUCCAAAGAAAGUGACAUUUAUUCUGUAUUCACUGAAAAGCCAAAAGAAUUUUCUCAUUCACCCAUACCGACAGAGCCCUACAUCUCCCCGAGAAGAGGUGAAAGAGACUGCUCCUAUCUGCUUCUGCAUCAAACUUCAGGCUCAAGACCUGUCCAGAAAAAAAAAUGUCUUCUUUCAGGGAUGAACUGCUGUCCUCAUCAGACGCCUUAUUUUGUUUAGAAUUCAAGCUCACUUGACAGGUUAUUGUGAAGAUUAAAUGAAUUAAUACAUGUGAAGCAACUGUAACAACUCUUGACAUGCGUGGGCUGGACUUCCAGAAGAAACGUUGUCAGAACUCUGCCCAACUGAAAACAA
rnacentral:lncRNA from 10 species